rnacentral:lncRNA from 1 species
GAGGCGAUCGCCGGCGCCGCUUGCUGGCUCCACCGUAUUCGGCGCUGGUGGCGAGGCGAGGGCUUGAUCACAGCGUGCGAGAGGACGGUCGCGGUUCUCUAGGCGCAGCGACUGAUGCCAAUCGCUGCCGGGAGCGGGGUUGGCGCCGAGCAGGUUAGUUGUUUGGUAGAUUGCUGAUUAGGUAUUUCGUAGCCUGUUUUGCGCAUCCGCUCUCAGCAUAUCGGCUUUCUGGCAGAAAGUUUCUGCAACUUGUUAUGUAUAUCGUUAAUCUCGCUGCAUUCGCUUAUGUGUUUGGCGCGGGGAGUAGAUUGUCUCAAUUCCACCACAGAGAAGUGGAGAAAUUCCUUCCGCUGGUUCUCAUUCAGCGAGUGCCAAACUGCAAAUAGGUGAAGGUGAAAAUUAAAAUACGCUACGCAUGGGAGCAUAGCUUCGAUCACCUGCUCGAUGAAAUGCCGGCAUCAGUUCAUAAAUAGCAGUUGCAGCGUUGCAACUGGCUUGCAUUUUUUUCCCCCGGACCCCCCAUGAAGAUUUGCUCGCACAAGGCUGUCAGAUAGUCCAUUGUGCUUUUGUUGGGCUGUUUCUGUACGCGUUGGACAUCGGCAUGCAUGAUGACAUGGGCCAGGUCGCCACGGAAAAAACGAGAUUUGGGCGGAGAGUUUGGUGCGCCGAGUAGGGUUGGUAUAUGCAGGUGAUUGGUCGUUGUGCAGCGUAGGUACAGGGUCGUUGGUUGUUUGAAUCGUACUUCGUGAGCAGUUAGUGCUGUUGAUCGGUUCAGGAUCUCGUAUCUGGUAGAAGGCACGGAUGAGGCAUGCAGACUCUUCGAGGCCUCAUGCAUGGUAGACUGGUAGACGUCUGUAGCUAAAGACAGACUGGUAUGGUUUUACUGAACUUGAAAAGGUUGUUAGCUAGCUAAUCAAUCGAUGUUAGUUUCGUAGAGAGUCAACGCAAAUCACCUUUGCCAAUGGUCAAUUGUAUACUCCGAAGUCCAAACACACACCUUUUAUCACAUAAGUUGUGUUUGGUUGGAUGUAUAAGAAGGAAUGAAAAGUGGCGAGCAUAGUUUCUAUAUUGUUUUUGACGAGAGUCACGUGGGGGUGAGGUAAACACCGAAGUAUUUUUUUGGUGACGGUGUGAUAAAAAAAAUUGAGGGCACGAUGUCACCUCCGUCUCAUUCUACUUUGACCUCAACAAACACGUCCUUACAGUACGUCAUAUGUCUGUCAAAACGGUGCCCAGUUGAGACGGUGCUGUUCAUUUUCACUCUGAGCUUCCAUGAAUUGCUCACCCUUUUGCUAACAGUAUUGGAACCCAGGGGCCAGUGAUCUUCAUUUAGCUGUUAUGUUAAUUAUCUGAAACAUUUCAUACACUCCUUUUUUUGUCGUCUGAAUCUUAACAUAUAACUGUACCUUGAAGAAACCCAGCUGAGCACAACCAGUUGUAAGGGGGGAAAAAGAAAGAAAGAAGCUGAUGACACACCCAAUGGCUUGAUCAAACAUUUCAUAUUCCCCAGUUUUUAGAACUCAGAUCCACAACAUUGCAUUUACAUACACCUGGGAAAACAGAUGUAAUCGUUUAUGACGGGCAGAAUGGGCGGCAUCAUUAAACUAACUUCCUCUGCAUUUCCUCGUGCAUGUAUGUUAUGUAAUGUUGCUUCUUCCCAUAAAGCCGCAGCUGUUUCAGUUUGAUCAUCUAAUGAUUGUUGCCACCCCUUUUUGUCCGGCAGGCAUACAUACGCUUAAAAUAAAAUAACCAUCAAGGGAAGGCAAGGAAGAAGCAUGUGCACGUUGAAGCUCGUGCCUCACUGCCUGAUGAUGGUGAAACGCCCUCAUGGCGCAUGGGAGGGGGGCCCCUGUAGUGCUGUCUGCCCAAGUGCCGAGCACGACCAGAGC